rnacentral:rRNA from 3 species
UACGAAGGGGGCUAGCGUUGCUCGGAAUUACUGGGCGUAAAGGGCGCGUAGGCGGACAUUUAAGUCAGGGGUGAAAUCCCAGAGCUCAACUCUGGAACUGCCUUUGAUACUGGGUGUCUUGAGUGUGAGAGAGGUAUGUGGAACUCCGAGUGUAGAGGUGAAAUUCGUAGAUAUUCGGAAGAACACCAGUGGCGAAGGCGACAUACUGGCUCAUUACUGACGCUGAGGCGCGAAAGCGUGGGGAGCAAACAGG